AUUGAACGCUAGCGGCAUGCCUUACACAUGCAAGUCGACCGAGUGGCGGACUGGUGCGUAAUAUCUCGGAAAGUGCCCGAUGGCGGGGGAUAACUACUCGAAAACGUAGCUAAUACCGCAUACCAUGGGAGCAGCCCAUAUGGGAUUAGCUAGUUGGUGGGGUAACGGCUCACCAAGGCAACGAUCCGUAGCUGGUUUGAGAGGAAGACCAGCCACACUGGAACUGAGACACGGUCCAGACUCCUACGGGAGGCAGCAGUGGGGAAUUUUGGACAAUGGGGGAAAUCCUGAGGCAGCCAUGCCGCGUGUAUGAGAAGGCCUUCGGGUUGUAAAGUACUUUUGGCAGGGAAGCGGUAUCUGCAGAAUAAGCACCGGCUAACUCCGUGCCAGCAGCGGCGGUAAUAC
rnacentral:rRNA from 1 species